AUGUCCGGCAGAGGCAAACAGGGAGGCAAGGCUCGCGCUAAAGCAAAGUCUCGGUCGUCGCGCGCGGGCCUGCAGUUUCCUGUGGGUCGAGUGCAUCGGUUGCUCCGUAAGGGUAACUAUUCUGAGCGCGUGGGUGCUGGUGCGCCUGUGUAUCUGGCGGCCGUCCUGGAGUAUCUUACGGCUGAGAUCCUGGAGCUGGCGGGCAACGCAGCGCGCGACAACAAGAAGACGCGCAUCAUCCCGCGCCACCUGCAGUUGGCUAUUCGUAACGACGAAGAGCUCAACAAGCUGCUGGGCCGCGUGACCAUCGCGCAGGGCGGCGUCCUGCCCAACAUCCAGGCCGUGCUGCUGCCCAAGAAGACGGAAAGCCACCACAAGGCCAAGGGCAAGUGAGGCCGCGGAGGCGGGCCGGAAACGACCGUACGCCCAGGGGGCCCCGUGACACCAAAGGCUCUUUUCAGAGCCACCCAUAGUUUCUAGAAAAGAGCCGCACUGGCCAAGGGCUGUGUCUUUCUGAGCGCGUUUCUGUGCGAACCUGCGCGAGACAGGGCUCGCGGGAAACCGAAGUGGAGGCAUGAUUUGGGUCAUGGAUGAGACGGGCUUCAGUGACACCCCAAACAUCAUCGAUGGCAGAUGUCUUCCCAGAGUGCCAGGCUUGGUGCUCCUGCUGGGGAUUUCCACCCACUCGUGGCUGGAGUGCACUCUGAGCCUCGUACACUGCCCCCAUACUACCACCUCCUCACUAUUCCCCAGUGGGGCAGACGGUUCUGCCAUUCUAGAGCAACUCAAGUAAACUAAAUACACAAACAAAGCUGCCUUUAAUUCAUUCUUUUCCAUGGUUGCCCACAUGGAGACCAACAGCAAGUUGGUAAACAUCAGGAAGAGGGAUCAUUCU